CCUCCAUCCUUUUUGCCUCCUCUAUCCCCAUUCCCACUGCCCCAGCUCAGGCCCCACAACUCUUCCUGCCUUGGCUGCCACUCCCAGGCCCCCCUGCAAUCCAUUCUCUAUGCACGGCCAAAGAAAUUGAGCUAACAACAAAACUCUACCUCAGAAGGAACUCUAACUUCUCAGCCUGACAUGGAAGGCCCUCCAGGAUAUGGGUGCUGCCAACCCCUCUGCCACUCCAACCUCAUUUCUCAAGCCUGCUGGCUCCAGCCAUUCUUUCUCUCACCUCCAGCCCUUCAUCUGCUGUUUCUUAUGCCUGGAAAAUGCUUUCUCUUCCUCAGCUCCCCUUUACCCAGAUAAUAUCUCUUCACCUUUCAAGUCUCAGCUUCACGGUCACCUCCUCUAGGAAGCCUCUCUUGAUCCCCCUUAGGCUGGGCUAGGCCUCCUUCUGUCUUCCCUAGGUCUCUCUCCUAGGACACUAGGAGUUUGUCAGAUGAGAGGGAAAGUGCUCAGGUGGUCAGAAGUAACAUUAUGGGGAGGGAGAGAGUCCUCUGUGGGAGCUGCUCUUAGAGGUGGCUCUGAGCAGAUGCCCCGCCCCCAACACGGCUGUGUGGGCUUUGCCAGGGGAGAGGAGCUGCCAGAGCAACAGCGCCUUCCUCCUGACCUCUGCCUCUGCACGUUCCCGUGACUCGCUGAUGGAAAACAUCCACCCCUUCUGGGCCUCUUCCUUAUUUCAUCACUUUAAUAAAUUAAGAACAGAUUGAAAAGCAGGAAACAUUGUCUCCCAGGCCCCAGCACCCACAUUCCAACUCAAUUACAGGAUUUGUUUUUCGGGUCUGACCAGAGGCAGCUGGGAUGCGGCAGAAAGAGUGAGAGAAAGAGUUUAAACCAAGAGGCCAGAGAAGGCAAAUUCAGAUUCCAGCUCAGUCGCUGACCAGGGGCCUCAGGCAAAACCAGUCACCUCUUUGAGCCUCCUCAUCCUCGUCUGGAAAAUGGAAUGUCCUCUCCUCCAUAUCCACCUGUGAGAUCCUAUGCAUCACCUCCAGAGAGGCUCUAACAUUGCUUGAGAUUUCGCUCACCCUUCAACAAAGUGCUGCAAGCUGGUUUCUACGUUCCAGGCACUGCACAAGAUCCAAACUCACAGUAGGCUCUGAGAGAGCUGAAAUGUCAGAGUCAGCCUGGAUAGAGACAAACAAAAGCUGAAAGAAUUCAUCACCAGAAGUCAUCACUAUGAGAAAUAUUACGGGAAGUCCUGCAGCCAGAAGGAAAAUGAAACCAGAUGGAAAUAUGGAUCCUCACAAUGGAAUGAGAAAUACCAGAAAUGGCAACUACAUGGAACUGUCUUCUUUUAGCAGGAUUAUUUCCUUGGAGCAGACUCCCAGAAACAGAAAUACCAGCCCAGUGCAGUAGGUGUGGCAGAAAGUAUUCUCACCCCGUGAUGGACGAGAAAACUGACAGCCUCGAGGUCACACAGGCAGGCAGGGGUCGAACUGGGCUCUGGAUUCCCCCUGCCAGUGAGCCCCAUGACCCUCCUGUCACACCACUUCAGGGGCCACCCACAGUGGGGACUGACCUGUGGGAGGCAUGGCAGGGGAGACAGUUAUGGUUCUACAAACAACUGCACAGUGAGUCCACAAGAACACAGAAAGAAUAAAGGCCUGCAUGAGUCUCCAGGAGGUUUUCCCAGAAGCAGUGGCAUCUGAGUUGAAGGAGGAGUGAGACUUGGCCAAAUAGAAAAGGCAGGGGAGAAAGUUCCACGAAGGAGCGAUACGCAGGCCAGGGCCAGGAAGAGUCAAAGGACAAGUCAGGAAUUGCUGAAUGACUUGCAUUUGUGGCAAACUGAGUAAGAAUUUUUAUCUGAGAACAAAGAGCUUUCUGCUUGUGUAUCUCACCUCCUCCUCACAGCAGCCCGAGAAGCAGCUGAUCCAGGAGGCCCUUGGCUGAGGGAGGGGAAGCACUUUGGCCUCAGAGACCGGGGGUCUGCUUCCCAGAGGUCAUGCGACUUACCACCUCUCUGAACCUGGGUUUCCCCUUCUCUGCAAAGAG
ensembl:lncRNA